rnacentral:rRNA from 1 species
GAUGAACGCUGGCGGCGUGCCUAAUACAUGCAAGUCGAGCGAACGGACGAGAAUCUUGCUUUUCUGAUGUUAGCGGCGGACGGGUGAGGAACACGUGGAUAACCUACCUAUAAGACUGGGAUAGCUUCGGGAAACCGGAGCUAAUACCGGAUAAUAUUUUGAACCGCAUGGUUCAAAAGUGAAAGACGGUCUUGCUGUCACUGAUAGAUGGAGCCGCGCUGCAUUAGCUAGUUGGUAAGGUAACGGCUUACCAAGGCAACGAUGCAUAGCCGACCUGAGAGGGUGAUCGGCCACACUGGAACUGAGACACGGUCCAGACUCCUACGGGAGGCAGCAGUAGGGAAUCUUCCGCAAUGGGCGAAAGCCUGACGGAGCAACGCCGCGUGAGUGAUGAAGGUCUUCGGAUCGUAAAACUCUGUUAUUAGGGAAGAACAUAUGUGUAAGUAACUGUGCACAUCUUGACGGUACCUAAUCAGAAAGCCACGGCUAACUACGUG